rnacentral:tRNA from 1 species
GCUCCCAUGGCGUAGUGGUCACUGCGCUCGCCUUGCACGCGGGAGACCUGGGUUCGAUUUCCGGCGGGGUCA